CUGUGCUUUAUUGAGUAUCAUUAAUACUUGUUUUCUUUAACACAGGCUGGGUGUAUGCAGGGAAUUUAGCGGUUGCUGUUGAUUUCUCCCUAUUUGGAAAAUCUUAAAUCCUACCCACUGUUAAAUUGUUUAACAUUACUCACAAACGGCCAGUUUGAGUGGAAUUUUUAGAAAGUCAGGUCUAAACUUUUGUCAUGAAGUCCAAGGACAAUCCCAUAAGUGCUGAAUGUUUGGCUGAAGAACAAGGUAUUUAUGAGGGUGUGUGAGUGCCUCAUUUUGAUGGUGUGGUGUUAUUGGGCUGUAAAUUUCAGGAAAUAGCUCAGGUUAGGAACAUCUGUUUAUUGACAGGGAACUUCCUACCUCCAACACUGUCUUGUUCAGGCACUUAAUAGUUGUUGCCUGAAUGGCUACAGUAAGUGCCUUUACAGCUUGCCUCCCUGUAAUCUUGCUCUCUGAAUUCAGGUUCCACUCUGCACACCUGACCAUGUGACACGCCUGUUCAGGAACCCUCUUGUGAUAUCACAAUGCCUCGCGAGCUAUAAUUAGCUUCAUAAGUGCAUCGUCUUUUUAAAGUUUCCAUCUUGUUCUUGUAUUUCAAUGUCUGCCUACCCAGAUCAAUCACCAGCAGUUCCAUGGCUGCCUGUUUCUGUUUCUACUUAGUCCCUCUUACCCCCUUGUGUGCAGAUCUACCAGGUACUAGCCUUGCGGGGUUGAAGUUGUGUUGGUCUGUUCUCUGUCUCCCAGUUCAUCACAAGUUCUCUCAGGCGUCUUUGGCAUGAGGCGGGAGCAGAGUGCGGUGCUAACCCUGAGAGUAGGGGGAUUGAAAGUGAUGAAGACAUAGCCCUGCUCACCGAAUCACCCAGUGAAGAACGGGCGAAGGACAGAGAAACAGAUCUUCCAUCUGCUGGCACACUCUUCAGGUGUCCACAACAGGCAGACCAAAGCCAGCAGUCUGGAAUUCAGUCUGGUCUGCCACUGGUGUCAGGGACCCAGCACUUGAACCACCACCUGCUGCCUCCCGGGGUGUGCAUCAGCAGGAAGUUGGAGUCAGCAGCAGAGGAUGUUUGGCAUUUUUGGCCUCUAUCCACUGGCUGCCCAGUAUGUCUCCAGUUAUGAAAAUCAAAAACAUUCCCACACCUUUGGAAUACCCCCUGGGGGGAUAGAUUUGCUUCCCAUUGAGAGCGCUUGAGGUAGGGGAGUUUGGAGCCUGGACAUGCAUGGGAGUUGCGGGGUGAAGUUAGGGUAACUGUGGAGGUAAUUUUCAAAUGCAUAGCAAAGAUCGGAAGACACUUUGGAAAUUUUCCCUUGGGAAUCUUUAUAGAUCUGAUCUUCAUGUGUCUGUAAUAAAUGAGCUGUUGAGUUUUAGGGCAGAGGGCAUUCCCUGGGUUUGCUCUUAACAGUCGCCACUCUCAGAAGCUGAUGGGUCAUCUGCUAUGUGCUCAAUGCAUACCAAAAUGAAGCACCAAUGAUAGGAACAAAGAUGCCAAAGCCAGGCUUCUGACCCAGAAGGAGCUUGUGUAUGAUAAACCCUUAAAGGCAGGGCUACAUUUUAUGAGACGAGUUUAUGAGAUCUGUUAAAAAGCACUAGAGAUUUAGAUAUAUCUGUAUUUAAACAGUAAUUCAAGACAAUAAGGGGGCACUUUUACAAGAUUACUAACAUCAAAGUUUUUUAGGUGUUUAACGGAAGAAGGAAUCUUUUCAGGCCCAGUAACAGGGGAAGGCUUUACGUAGAGUGGUAUAUGAAAACAACCUUGGACAUGGUCGGAUUUAGGCCGCUGAACAAUCCUGAAGAAAGAGAUGGAAGAGGGAUGUAGCCAAGAGACUUAGCAGAGCUUCACCUGGGCUGCAGUUGAGGGAUUGGUGAGACAAAUGAGGUGGGGCUCAGGUGUCUGAGGUCCCUGUGUUGAAGGGCGUGCAUUUCCACCUAUGCCAGCCCUGAUGUCAUGCUGAUUGGCACCCUUGCCAUAAGCUCUCUCGGGAGGUUUGCAGAGGGCUCAAAAGGACAGACGAAGGCUGCCCUCGUUUGGCUUCCAUGGCUCGCUCCAUGACAUGGUAAACACUCAUCUGAGUAGAGUGGGGAUGGGGGGUGUGUGGUGCUUACUUGCUCUGGUCCUGUGGUCUCUUCUCCAGUUUUCAAAGAAUCAGGCCUCCCACAUCUGCAGGAAGUUUCAGUUUACAAAACCUGGCUUCUGUUUCUCUUCUAUCCCCACUGCUCUGGUUGUACAGCUUAUGGUGAAGAUGCCUUCUGGGGCAGGCGUUUGGCACAGUGGUUAUGAUGUUGCAUGGAGGGCCGGCACCGCAGCUCACUUGGCUAAUCCUCCGCCUGCGGUGCUGGCACUCCCGGUUCUAGUCUCGGUUGGGGCACCGUGUUCUAGUCCCGGUUGGGGCACGGGGUUCUAGUCCCGGUUGCUCCUCUUCCAGUCCGGCUCUCUGCUCUGGCCCGGGAGGGCAGUGGAGGAUGGCCCAAGUGCUUGGGCCCUGCACCCUCAUGGGAGACCAGGAGGAAGCACCUGGCUCCUGGCUUCAGAUCGGUGCAGCACGCCAGCCGUAGUGGCCAUUUGCGGGGUGAACCAAUGGAAGGAAGACCUUUCUCUCUGUCUCUCUCUCUCUCACUGUCUAACUCUGCCUGUCCAAAAAAAAAAAAAAAAAAAAGAUGUUGCACGGAACACCUGCAUCUCAUGUCAGAGUGCCUGGAUUUGAGUUCCGAUUCUGAUUCUGAUUCCAGCUUCCUAUUAAUGUGCACCCUGGGAGGGAGCAGGUGAUGGCCUAGUACUUGUGUCUCUGCUACCCAUUUCUAAGAUCUGGACUGAGUUUUGGAUUGAGUUGACUUUGGCUGUGUCCAGUACAAGUUGUAGUGGACAUUUGGGCAAUGAACCAACAGAUGGAAGCUCACCUUUUCUCUCAUAUCUCCAUCUCUCUCUGACUUUCAAAUAAUCAUUAUCAUAAUAUAAGUAAUAAAAAGAUGCCUUUUAAAAAAGAUUUAUUUAUUUGAAUGACAGAGUGAUAGAGGAAGAUAGAGAAAGUCAGAGAGUGAUGCAAGGAGUUUCAACAGCCAGGACGGGGCUGGGCUGAAGCCGAGUCCAUGACUCCUUCUGGGUCCUAUAUAUGGGUAAAAGGGCCUGAGCACUUGGACCAUCUUCUGCUUUCCCAGGCGCAUUAGAGGAGAUCUGGAUCAUUAGUGAAGCAGCCAGGGUUCCAGCCAGUGCUCCGAUGUGGGAUGCUGGUGUCACAAACAGUGGUGUAACCUGCUCUGCCUCAGUGUGGGCCCCAGGAUGCCUUCUUUUCUUAAGAACUCCCAAGGAUUCUGGGUCAUGGACAAGGUAAUAGUAAUAAGCAGAACUGUCUAAAUACGACAUCACACAUAGUCAAAGGCUGUAUUCUACGUCUUCCAGUUCAUACAUAGAAAUGCAUGAAGUGGCAGUCGCCGGCAACUCAGAUCAGCGAAUAAAGAACUCUACAACCAACCUGCCUUCUCCGCUGGCAACUGAAGCUGUUUCUCAAAUCCAAGUCACAGCCUCUACACUGAAGAGGUGCAGACAGCACCGAACUAAAACACUCGGACACAAACGCAAGGGGAUGGAUUUUGAAAACCCUUUAAAGCUUUUGUGUGUUGUAGUCGUCCGAACAGAAAGUUCUAGAGAACACGUUAUUGCAAUUUUGAAUGUUUCUUGUGCAACACUUUUCAAUCUGGAAUGCUUCAGUUGAUUCUUGUGUUCCCAUGGGUGUGAACUUGAGACACUUGUUGAAUCUACAGGCAUGAGUUUGUAUGGGCGUGCUUUACUGAAAUAGAGACACACACACACACACACACACACACACCCCUGGAUAGAUGGGGGUGAGAGGAAAACCCCUUCUCACUCAGAGAUCACCUCACACCUGGGGUACACUGACGCCUCCUCAUUGAAAAUUGUUCUCAUUUUACUACGUUAGGUUUCAGAUUUCACGUUCUGAAAUGUAAUUUUCAGUGAAUUAAAAAGUAUCACAUUUGAGUCCGGCAAGAUGGCGGAAUAGGAAGGGAGCACACUGAUAGUCUGGGGAGAGAUAGUUUAAUAAAAGUGGAGAUACUGCAGGUUCAAGGAAGAGUAGGGGAGGAAACAGCACAAGAAACUCUUCCGGAACGCGUGACUCACAGCGGACCUGCGUGGAGAGCGUGGGAGCCCACAGUUCGGGACAUCAGCGGCAGACUCAACA